rnacentral:rRNA from 1 species
GCGAGUGGCGAACGGGUGAGUAAUACAUCGGAACGUGCCCUGUAGUGGGGGAUAACUAGUCGAAAGAUUAGCUAAUACCGCAUACGACCUGAGGGUGAAAGUGGGGGACCGCAAGGCCUCAUGCUAUAGGAGCGGCCGAUGUCUGAUUAGCUAGUUGGUGGGGUAAAGGCCCACCAAGGCGACGAUCAGUAGCUGGUCUGAGAGGACGAUCAGCCACACUGGGACUGAGACACGGCCCAGACUCCUACGGGAGGCAGCAGUGGGGAAUUUUGGACAAUGGGGGCAACCCUGAUCCAGCAAUGCCGCGUGUGUGAAGAAGGCCUUCGGGUUGUAAAGCACUUUUGUCCGGAAAGAAAUCGCACUUACUAAUAUUAGGUGUGGAUGACGGUACCGGAAGAAUAAGGACCGGCUAACUACGUGCCAGCAGCCGCGGUAAUACGUAGGGUCCAAGCGUUAAUCGGAAUUACUGGGCGUAAAGCGUGCGCAGGCGGUUGUGCAAGACCGAUGUGAAAUCCCCGGGCUUAACCUGGGAAUUGCAUUGGUGACUGCACGGCUAGAGUGUGUCAGAGGGGGGUAGAAUUCCACGUGUAGCAGUGAAAUGCGUAGAGAUGUGGAGGAAUACCGAUGGCGAAGGC